GGCGGCCGCUGGGGGCGCGCGGAGUCGCCUCUCCCUGCCCACGGCCCCGGAGCGCCGUCUCCUGAGCUCGGUCGCUGGAGCGUAGUAUGGGAAAUUCCAACAUCAAGGAAUUUGGGAUUUUUCCUGGAAUCUCAGCUCAAGUGCUGUGAGGGAGCAAAAUCUCACCAUAGCCUGUCUCCAAACCAGACAGACUGAUGCAACCCCUGUGCAGCUCCACAGGGCUGUAGUUCCUUUCAGCACGCUCUCAGCUGUGCUGUGCAGGACACAGCUGCGCUCAGCUGAUCAAGCAGCUCUGCAGCUCUUCAGGAGCUGAUGAUUGGUGGAGGCGGAUCUCAUGAAUCUGACAUUUUUAUUGCUUGAUACUGAUGCAAAAUGAUGUGUUCAUUGUAUAACAUCAUGACAGCUAAAAUAUUUACUCAAUAAAUUGGAGGUCUUGCAUUAAA